UACGUAGGGGGCAAGCGUUGUCCGGAAUCACUGGGCGUAAAGGGCGCGUAGGCGGCUUUGUAAGUCGGGGGUGAAAGCCUGUGGCUCAACCACAGAAUUGCCUUCGAUACUGCAUGGCUUGAGACCGGAAGAGGUAAGUGGAACUGCGAGUGUAGAGGUGAAAUUCGUAGAUAUUCGCAAGAACACCAGUGGCGAAGGCGGCUUACUGGUCCGGUUCUGACGCUGAGGCGCGAAAGCGUGGGGAGCAAACAGG
rnacentral:rRNA from 1 species